AUGCACGCUGGCGGCGUGCCUAAUACAUGCAAGUCGAGCGAACAGACGAGGAGCUUGCUCCUCUGACGUUAGCGGCGGACGGGUGAGUAACACGUGGAUAACUUACCUAUAAGACUGGGAUAACUUCGGGAAACCGGAGCUAAUACCGGAUAAUAUAUUGAACCGCAUGGUUCAAUAGUGAAAGACGGUUUUGCUGUCACUUAUAGAUGGAUCCGCGCCGCAUUAGCUAGUUGGUAAGGUAACGGCUUACCAAGGCAACGAUGCGUAGCCGACCUGAGAGGGUGAUCGGCCACACUGGAACUGAGACACGGUCCAGACUCCUACGGGAGGCAGCAGUAGGGAAUCUUCCGCAAUGGGCGAAAGCCUGACGGAGCAACGCCGCGUGAGUGAUGAAGGUCUUCGGAUCGUAAAACUCUGUUAUUAGGGAAGAACAAAUGUGUAAGUAACUAUGCACGUCUUGACGGUACCUAAUCAGAAAGCCACGGCUAACUACGUG
rnacentral:rRNA from 1 species